rnacentral:lncRNA from 1 species
GCUAUGCGUGGACGCUUGUGAAUCCAAAUCAUAACACAGUAGGUUCACCUGCAAGAGGUCUGGCAAUAACACGCGAUGGAUCAAUGAGCUACAGAUACAUUAAGCGAUAUAUGAAAAGUUAUGGAGGCAUACCUGUCUAUAACUCCACUUAUGUUGUGAACUACGUGACUAUUGGAUCAUUUUGGAUUGGUUAUGAUGAUGUUGAGGCUAUCAGAACUAAAGUUUCUUAUGCGAACGGUAAGGGGCUUCGCGGUUUUGCUGCAUUCCAAAUUCCUAGUGAUGAUGUCGAUUGGGAGCUUUCAAAAGCAGGUUAAAUCAUAAUCCUUUGCAAACUUACUAAAUAUAGAAAGAGGCACGCGUUUUGGGAUAGACCAAACAGGGAAGUAAGUCAGUAAGACACUUAAAUUGGGACGGAGAGAAGAUAGGGUAUAACCAACAUCAUAAAGAGAUUGCUUAUAUCACACAUUUUUCACAAAUUAUAAACAUGAUAACUUUCUUUACAGCCUCGGGCGAAGAAGAAGAUCAUAGAGGCAGCAAGCGAAGGUUGCUGGCGAUUCUUUUGCCAACGAUCACCAUCACCGUUCUCCUAAUAAGUACAAUAGUAUGUAUUUUGAAAAAGAAAACUAUGAGAUCUGAAGGUAACCAAUUCAACUUCUUGUCACUCUUUCAUUUAAACGACUAAUCAGAACAUACUGGAACUAAAAGUUUUUCAUUUGAUUAUAGGUAUCGAGGUAUUGAAUGAAAGAGCUAUAGGUAGUAAUCUGAUAGUUUUCAGCUUUGAUCAAAUAAAAGAAGCUACAGACAAUUUCUCCAUCGAAAACAAGAUUGGAGAGGGAGGCUUUGGACCAGUUUAUAAGGUAUUGAACUCUAUUAGUUUAUCCUCUUACAUCUAUAGCAAUUUGACUUAGACGUGGUGGCGUUGGGAGCUUUCGUAUGCAUAUCAAAUGUGAAAAUAGCUGUACAUGGUAAGGGGAAGAUAGCUUUACGACGAGUACUACUAAUCAUACUGCUUAUUGUCCCAGGGAAGGUUAAGUGAUGGGGAAGAAAUUGCAGUAAAACGGCUUUCAGAAUGCUCUAAGCAAGGAGUAGAAGAGUUUCGGAAUGAAGUCACACUUGCUUCAAAGUUACAACAUGUCAAUGUUUUACAACUUCAGGGCUUUUGCAUCGAAAGAGAAGAGAAGAUGCUGAUUUAUGAGUACAUGCCAAAUAAGAGUUUGGAUUUCUACCUUUAUGGUGCGUAAACUCUUACCUCAUCAUAAAUAUACGUACAGACACGCGCACACACUCACACACCGUUCUUAAAGCACAUGAUCAUGCAUAUUCCACAUGCCUAAGAAUUGAUUAUCUGAUGCAGACCCUGUGAAGAGUUUGAAAUUAGAUUGGGAGUCGCGGAUACGCAUUAUAGAAGGAAUUACUCAAGGACUUCUAUACCUCCAAGAAUACUCAACAUUCACAGUCAUUCACAGAGACUUGAAAGCCAGCAACAUAUUACUAGACAAUGAGAUGAAGCCAAAAAUCUCAGAUUUCGGUAUAGCUAGACUUUUCCAGAAAGAUGAAAAAGAAGCAAACACCGGAAAGAUUGUUGGGACCUAGUAAAUAUCAUGAAUCUUGACCAUUGUUACUUACUUAAUACUCCUACUCACUAACAUUUCCGCUUGUAUUCUGCAGUGGUUAUGUUCCUCCAGAGUAUGUUAAACGAGGUGUAUACUCCAGGAAAUAUGAUGUUUACAGUUUCGGAGUUCUAUUAUUGCAAAUCCUUGGUGGCAAGAAGAAUUCAUGUGAAUAUGGAUUUGAGAACGAUCUGAAUCUUCUUGAAUAUGUAAGUCUUUGAAGUCUUAUCGAACUAGUUCGAUGUCAAAAUCUCCACGUGGAAGCUAAUUAACCUCAUCUGAUCAAAACUCAGGCAUAUGAACUCUGGCAAAAAGGCAACGGAGUGGAUUUUAUUGAUCCGUCACUGCACGAUGAUUUUCUUAUAGGUAAACAACUGAGAUACAUGAAAGUUGCACUGUUGUGUGUCCAAGAAAAAUGGGAAGACCGACCAUCGAUGUUGGAGGUAUACUCCAUGCUCAAAAAUGAAACUGAAGUCUUGCCAAAUCCUAAAGUUCCUGCCUUUUCCAAGAACAAAGACAGUACCACACAAGAAACUUCGGUCAUACUUGAUAUACCUUGUUCAGAUAGUAGUCUCACUAUUUCCGAACUUAUAGGUCGUUAACACUUCAAAGUUUUGGAAAUUAAUUUCAUCCAUGAUAGGUUUUUUUCGUCUAUGUUUCCUUACUUGAUCAGCCAGCCACACUUAGCAACUUCUUUCAUAGUUUUCUGUGAUGAAGGAAAGUUGUUUAAGUAGUGAAUUGGAGUAUGAUGAUUGUGGAGUCAUGAAUGAUUAUGCAGUACAAUGACAACAACAACAACAAAUCCAGUGUAUAAUCCUACAAGCGUGGUACAGGAAGGGUGGUUUGUACGCAGACCUUGCUGUUUGUACUCUCUCUCUAUAUAGUGCAUACACUAAGGGCAUAUAAAGACAAAUAUAAAUGAAUAAAGGGUGGCUCGUGUAUUCCCAUUCACAGGUGGAGAGAGCGAUGCAGAGGGUAUAGGACAAGGGUCAUCUACAAUGGAACUCUUUUGUAGUAUUACUAUCGCUCUACGCCAGUGUUGUCAAAUGCACGCUUAAGCCCAGACGCAAGGCUCAAAACACGUUGAGUGCUUCGUCUCGCUUAAUGAGCACUUCAGUGCCAUCAUCGAGGUUCUAAGACAUAAUUUUCCUUUGCUAAUGUGCCUCUUCUAAAGAGGCAAGCAUUAAACAAUUGAUAUUUCAUUUUAAUGUAAUUAUUUUUCAAUUUCCUUGUACUUACAUUUGUCAUUCAUGCUUAUAAUUAUUAAUAAUCUUGAACUAAACAUAUAUGUUUGUAUGUUUCCUCCCUUUGCGCCUAUUUUCAUUAAAGUCUUAUGCUUUAUUUGCGCUUAACAAACCUUAGAACCAUUUUGCAGUUUUUGUUUUUGACAACACUGUUUUACAUUCCUGUAACUUUAGUUCACAAAGAAUUAUGUCAACCAAGCUAUUGAAAAUGAAAUCAUAACAAAUCAUAUUUUUCAUAUAUCCUUUUCUUUGUAACUCUGGUAUCCAGGCUAGCUUUCUCGCACCUCGAACUAAUUCCACAACAUACAUGUCGUUUCCCACCAACAACAGAUACCAGGUAACGCUAGGUAACGCUGCCCACUUAGUCUAUGUUGUUCAUAUAUAUUCAUUUUUAUAUAUAUAAUUGUGGUGUCUGGACUAGCUUUCGCAUGCCUCGACUAAUUCCAUGGAUACCUGCCACCUCCCAUCAGCGACACGUACCAGGUACCUGGUCACUCUGUCUACCAAAGCAAUAUUGUUCAUAUCUUAAAAAGCACUAGGUAAUUCUUUCCAUCUAUUCUAGUCUUAGUGGCCAGAGGUAUUUGAUUUCUGUUGUUGGAGGGAGGUGUUGGGUAUCAGAGGAUAUAGUUGAGGUGCGUUCAAAGCUAGCCUGGACAACACAAUUAUUAAAAAAAUAAAGUACAAACAUAAUAAAAUAAAGGCAUAAUACAACAAUAUGUCCUUCAACUUGACUUCAACUUGCAUUUAUGCCCUUAGUCGAGACACUUAAACUUGUGUACAAUUGAAUAGGUAGACACAGGUGUCAUAUGUGGCAUCUUACGUGGCUAAUUCUUGUCCUACAUGGCUUCCUACGUGUAUUAUGUCAUAUAGAACGCAUGUAUCUAUUUAUUCAAUUUUAUACAAAUUUAAGUGUACACUUGUGCAUGUUCAAAGUUGGAGGUCACACAUGUAAACUGAGCGUUCGUUAGGUAUAAAAGCAUGUAAAUCCUACUUACUAGCUCAAAAAUCAACACAUUUAAUACGAAAUUAAAAGUUGAAAACAAAAUUACACACACACACAAAAAAAAGAGCUAAUUGAAAGGCAAACCUGAUUAAAUGUGUUAAAUGGAAGGUUG